UACAGGGGGGGCAAGCGUUGUUCGGAAUUAUUGGGCGUAAAGCGUCUGUAGGUGGUUUAAAAAGUCCAUGGUUAAAACUUGAAGCUUAACUUCAAAGAUGCCAUGGAAACUUUUAAACUUGAGUAUGGUAGGGGUAAAGGGAAUUUCCAGUGGAGCGGUGAAAUGCGUAGAUAUUGGAAAGACCACCGACGGCGAAGGCACUUUACUGGGCCAUUACUGACACUAAGAGACGAAAGCUAGGGGAGCAAAUGGG
rnacentral:rRNA from 1 species